AGCUCCAAUAGCGUAUAUUAAAGUUGUUGCAGUUAAAAAGCUCGUAGUUGAAUUUCAAGUUCCUUUUCGUUUCCGGCCACUGUGUCUUUUAUGGCCAGUGUUGCAUUUGGAAACAGGAGCUUUUAUUCUGCUAGGCGCUCGCUUCUUCCAGUUCUGCUGGCGUAGGCGAUGUUUUUGCCUAGCACUUUUACUUUGAAAAAAUUAGAGUGUUCAAAGCAGGCUUUUUAAGCUUGAAUAUCUUAGCAUGGAAUAAUAGAAUAGGACUUUGGUUCUAUUUUGUUGGUUUCUAGGACUAAAGUAAUGAUUAAUAGGGAUAGUUGGGGGCAUUAGUAUUUAAUUGUCAGAGGUGAAAUUCUUGGAUUUAGGAAAGACUAACUUCUGCGAAAGCAUUUGCCAAGGAUGUUUUCA
rnacentral:rRNA from 1 species